GGAUUCCCAGAGGACAAGAGCUGCCAGACCUUUGUACAGGAUCACUGCUUCAGCAAGACCACUUCAUCUGGACUGCUACCACCACAGUUUCAGGCACCAGGUAGUUCGGAGACCAUCGCUGAAUUCAUACAGCUUUUCACACAGUUUGCCACAGCAUCGCUGCAGACAGGGUGAUGGAGUUUAUGUCAGAGAAGAGGAUGGUGACGUGGGUUGGAACCUGCCUGAAAUGCCAGGGGGCUGUGAUUGAUGGCACAAAUCUGGAGGCCAUCACCAGUGGUGUACCCAAGGGCUUGACACUGGGCCCCUCCCCGUGUAACAUCCCUGAGAAUGACCUGAACCAUGGGGCACACCCUCAGCACCCUCACAGAUGAACAGAACUGGGAAGAGUGGCUGGUUCAGUGCAGGAGACCUGGGCAGACUGGGAAUGGAAAGAAACUGGGAAUGGAAGAAACCUUGUGACAUUUCAAUAAAGGCAAGUGCCAAGACCAGCCCCUGGGGAGGAACAGCCCCAAGCACCAGCACACAGUGGCGUCCAGAGUGUGGAAAGCAGCCCUGCAGAAGGACCUUGCUGGUCCUGGUGACAGCACAAGGACAGGGCAGUGACUCAGUGCCCUCAUGGCAAGGGUGCCCAGUGGGGUCCUGGACUGCUCUGAGAGAGGGGUGCUGCCAGCAGGUCAAAGACUCAUCCAUGGCACUCUCAGAUUAGAGAACUGGUAACUGAUUUCUUAUGCUGUGUUUUUUAACCUCCUGCCUUUAAUAGCUGUUUAUUCUUUCAAAGAUUUUCUUUACAUCCCCUGGAAGUUUCUGCAAUGGAAUUUGAUGCAAAGCAUUGUUAGGUGGCUUUGGAAGCCCGAUUGCAUGAAAUGAUCUCUUUGCAUGCUGCUGAUCCCCUCAAAGUUCACGUUUGUGGGAUAUGACAGCCCUCUGCCCAUGCUGAUUCUUCCACAUUAUGUCCCACUUAUCCCUGUGUCCACUUAUAAUUUCUACCAGAUAGUGGUUGAAAUGUCUGGGUAACUCUUUUUUAAGUCCCAGAAAGCCUCUUAAAAAUAUAUUUUGGAGAGGAAUCAACAGAAGGAAUAGCAGCAAACUGCAAAAAGCCAAUGCUAGUAAUUUGAGAAGGCUUAAGGAACUCAAGGAUGAGUGCCAGGUCUCAUUGCCAUAUGAAUGGGAAAUGACUAACAUACAUAGUCUCAAUUUUUGACACUUCAUUUUGAAUAAUUUCCCUGGUAUUUGCCCUCUGCUGGGGAGUGUUAGGUUGGCUAUCUCAUGAAACUCUUCUAUAAGAAAUGUAUAAGCAAAGAAUAAGUUUGCAUAUUCUGUCAUUUCUUUAUUCUGUCCUUCUUAAGCUCAGUGUCAGACUUCUUGUUACAGUGUAUUUAUUAUUUCUUGCGCCUUUCAU